rnacentral:rRNA from 2 species
AGCUUGCUUCUGAUUGAUAACAUUUGAGUGAGUGGCGGACGGGUGAGUAACACGUGGGUAACCUGCCCUAAAGUGGGGGAUAACAUUUGGAAACAGAUGCUAAUACCGCAUAAAACCUAGCACCGCAUGGUGCAAGGUUGAAAGAUGGUUUCGGCUAUCACUUUAGGAUGGACCCGCGGUGCAUUAGUUAGUUGGUGAGGUAAAGGCUCACCAAGACCGUGAUGCAUAGCCGACCUGAGAGGGUAAUCGGCCACACUGGGACUGAGACACGGCCCAGACUCCUACGGGAGGCAGCAGUAGGGAAUCUUCCACAAUGGACGAAAGUCUGAUGGAGCAACGCCGCGUGAGUGAAGAAGGUUUUCGGAUCGUAAAACUCUGUUGUUGGAGAAGAACGUAUUUGAUAGUAACUGAUGAGGUAGUGACGGUAUCCAACCAGAAAGCCACGGCUAACUACGUGCCAGCAGCCGCGGUAAUACGUAGGUGGCAAGCGUUGUCCGGAUUUAUUGGGCGUAAAGCGAGCGCAGGCGGUUUCUUAAGUCUGAUGUGAAAGCCUUCGGCUCAACCGAAGAAGUGCAUCGGAAACUGGGAAACUUGAGUGCAGAAGAGGACAGUGGAACUCCAUGUGUAGCGGUGAAAUGCGUAGAUAUAUGGAAGAACACCAGUGGCGAAGGCGGCUGUCUGGUCUGUAACUGACGCUGAGGCUCGAAAGCAUGGGUAGCAAACAGGAUUAGAUACCCUGGUAGUCCAUGCCGUAAACGAUGAGUGCUAGGUGUUGGAGGGUUUCCGCCCUUCAGUGCCGCAGCUAACGCAUUAAGCACUCCGCCUGGGGAGUACGACCGCAAGGUUGAAACUCAAAGGAAUUGACGGGGGCCCGCACAAGCGGUGGAGCAUGUGGUUUAAUUCGAAGCAACGCGAAGAACCUUACCAGGUCUUGACAUCCUUUGACCACUCUAGAGAUAGAGCUUUCCCUUCGGGGACAAAGUGACAGGUGGUGCAUGGUUGUCGUCAGCUCGUGUCGUGAGAUGUUGGGUUAAGUCCCGCAACGAGCGCAACCCUUAUUACUAGUUGCCAGCAUUUAGUUGGGCACUCUAGUGAGACUGCCGGUGACAAACCGGAGGAAGGUGGGGACGACGUCAAAUCAUCAUGCCCCUUAUGACCUGGGCUACACACGUGCUACAAUGGAUGGUACAACGAGUCGCGAGACCGCGAGGUUUAGCUAAUCUCUUAAAACCAUUCUCAGUUCGGAUUGUAGGCUGCAACUCGCCUACAUGAAGCCGGAAUCGCUAGUAAUCGCGGAUCAGCAUGCCGCGGUGAAUACGUUCCCGGGCCUUGUACACACCGCCCGUCACACCAUGAGAGUUUGUAACACCCAA